rnacentral:lncRNA from 1 species
CUGUCCAGCUACACACAGAGUCGGGUGCUCUGGAAACCCCCAGGCAGACCCACUGCUGUCACCUGGCCCUGGCAGGAGAUUACUACUGAGCUUUUGCUAUCUGAGUUGCCCAUCCACGCUGCUGUAUUGUCUUUGUUAAAAGAUGCUGUUAACCAACAACUGGGACCUCUACAACAGUGCACAAGGAGGAUUGGCUCACAAGGUCCCUGCUCCAGGCUAGAGCAGCCAGUGGAAGCACCAACACCAGUAUCACAAAGAGAUGAUGGAGUCAAAAUGACUGCUUUGGUUGGAGCUGGAUUUUUCUCUGAAGUCUGUAGAAGCUUGUUACCAUGUUAAAUGCCCAGCUUUCAUUAAAUCCACACCUGAAGGGUAAGUAAAUGAAUCCUGAAUUUCAUAUUUGAAGGUAUGUGUGCUUUUCAU